AUGGCCGCGGCGAGCACCGGCUCGUCGGUUGUUCGCCAUCCACAGGCGGAGUCGUCACACAUGUCCACAAUGCAGCAAACGUGCGGGCUCCAUUCCCCGCACGACCUGACAGUAACCCGGUUAUCCACCUUGCCGGAAGAGCAAUCUCUGGGAAAUGAUUGGUGCACACACUACAAAAUCAUAAAAGGGAUAUGCGAAGGUUUAUAUUGUCUUCACCAGAACUUAAUUCUUCACCUGGAUCUAAAACCUGCUAACAUAUUACUAGACAAAUACAUGGCACCAAAAAUUGCGGAUUUUGGAUUGUCGAGGAUCUUCACAGGAAGUCGCAGCCAUGUGACUGUCGAAACAGUUGCAGGAACAAUGAAGUACAUGCCACCAGAAUUAAGAAAGCAAAGCGAGGUUUCAGACAAGACGGAUAUUUUCGGUUUAGGUGUUACUAUCAUAGACAUAAUGGCAGGACCUCAAGGUUACGUCAAAUUCAGGGAGGUGGAGGACGCAGAAUUUACUGAUCAUAUAAGGUGUGUUUCUGAGCUGGUGGAUGAGAAGAAGUCGAUGGCUGUUUCUGCUGCACCAUCCCAAUUGCAACCAUCAGCGCUGGAGGUGGAGCACGAGGGUAGCAAAAUGAGCCAAGAGAGGGAGGAGAUGGAAGCAAUCACGAGCGAGGCGACUGGUGUGAUGGAGCUCCUCCCCGGCAAAUCCACCGCGCUCAUCGGCGACAAGUACAAGCUGCUCCUCGCUGAGGUAAGCAAACAGGCAUUGUUCCUGGAGAAGGAGUCGAACUCCAUAAAUGCUCUCCUCAAGGAUCUGGAGCUGAAGGCUGAACUCACUUUAGAGCUCAAAAACUGGAGGGACAAUGUCAGGGAGAUUUCCUAUGACAUUGAGAAUUGCAUGGAUGACUUCAUGUGCCGACAUGGAGGUGGCAAUGUUGAGGCAGGCUUCAUCCCAGAGACUACUGAACUUCACAAGAGGUUAUGCGAGCUUCGUCAAAUUGCUGACCAGAUGGAAGAGCUUAAGACUCGCGCUCUAGAGACAAAUGCUCGGCGUGAGAGGUACAAGAUUGAUGAUUGGAAGCCUACCCCCGUCUCUCUGGCUGUUGAACCUCAUCUUCGAGUGGCUAACAAUGCAAAAGCCACCCUUGUGGGUAUUGAUGGCCCAAAGAAAGAGGUUGCCAAGUGGUUGAUGGAUACUCAGGAGGAACUCAAGGUGGUGUCCAUUGUGGGAUUCGGAGGUCUUGGCAAAACUACACUUGCCAAGCAAGUGUUUGACGAGAUUAAAGGGGAAUUCGAUUGUAAGGCAUUCUUUUCAGUUUCACAAAGACCAGAUUUGAGCAUGCUUCUCAAGCGCCUAGAGGCAAAACUUCGUAUGAAGGAGCCUUCUUACGCUCGCAAAGUGGAACACAUCAUCGAAGACAUAUCGGAACAUCUGACGGAAAAGAGGUACCUUAUUGUGGUUGAUGACUUGUGGGAUCCAUCCAUAUGGAAUGUUAUCAGUCAUGCCUUCCCAAAUGAUGGUAAUGGGAGUAGAGUAAUAGUAACAACAAGGGUAGAAGUUGUGGCUAGUGCGGCUUGUCAAAAUGGCCCUGAGUACAUUUAUAAAUUGAAGCCCCUGGACAAACAAAACUCAAAGAAAUUGUUUUUCAAAAGAAUAUUUGCAUCAGAAGAUGGCUGUCCACCCUACCUUGAAGACGCCGCUGCUGAAAUUCUGAAGAAGUGUGGCGGAUUGCCCCUUGCAAUCAUCACUAUAGCUGGCCUAUUAGCUACUCAAGCGAGAAUAAAGAAACACUGGGACGGUAUAAGGACUUCUCUACGAGCUCAGUCUACCAAAAAUUCUUCACUAGAAGAUAUGAAGAGUAUAUUAAACCUUAGUUACACGCAUCUUCCUUCUCAUCUCCGGGCUUGUUUUCUGUACCUUGGUAUGUAUCCUGAGGACCAUGUGAUCAACACAAUUGAUCUGAUUCGACAGUGGAUAGCUGAAGGCUUUAUCAGCAAUUUGCCUGGGCAAGAUUUGGAGGAUGUUUCUAGGAGUUACUUCAAUGAGCUUAUCAAUAGAAACAUGAUUCAGCCUGAACAUACUCUUUUGGGGGAGGUGGUGUCAUGUAGAGUACAUGAUUUGAUGCUUGAUUUGAUUCUAAGCAAGUGUGCAGAAGAUAAUUUUAUAUGUGUGGCAUACAAUGCUGAUGACAUGGAAAGGCUGCAUAGCUGCAAGCACAAGGUUCGUCGUUUAUCCCUGAGCUCCAUGGCUACGGGUGGAGCAAGCGCCACAUAUGACACAACUAUUAUUGCUUGCAUAUCACUUGUACAUGUUCGAUCAUUUACACUGUUCAGGAACUACAUGCCAUCCCUUUUGCUGUUCAAGUAUCUCAGGGUGCUCAACAUUUAUGAUGUCAUGGUAGAUGAGAAGGAGAUUGUUGACUUAACUGCCAUUAGCCAGUUAUUUUUGUUGAGGUAUUUGAAAGUUGAAGCAUCAUAUGGCAUAGAGCUUCCAACAGAACUUCAAGGGCUUGUUUACUUGGAGACGAUACACUUAAGCUGUGGAGAGAUGAUGGAAAUACCCUCAGAUAUAGUUCAUUUGCCCCGCUUGUCCUAUUUGUGCCUUCCAGUUGCUUCAAGACUGAUUGGAGGGAUCGGAAACAUGAAAUCAUUGCGUACCCUACGAGGGUUUCUCGUACUGAGCUCGGUGGAGGAUAUUAUGGGUCUCGGCAAGCUCAUCAACCUGACAGAACUGGAGCUGGCGGGAUUUGGGGCGUUUUUGGAGACACCAAAACUUGAUGCUUUGGCAUGCUCCAUUGGAAAGCUCCAUAACCUCAAACGCCUCAGCUUGCAUUGCUUGUGUGAAGAAGACAAUAAUUUGCUGGCCUCAUUAUUCAAUCCCUUCCAGCAUAUUGAGUACCUUGGACUUGAAGAUUGGAAAUUCCCCCAAGUUCCCAAAUGGAUAGGUGGCCUCCAUUACCUCCGCAUCCUAGAGCUGCGUGUUGAGGAGACAUCAACUGAGCAGAUUCAUCUUCUGGGAGAGCUUCCCUCCCUUGUUUACCUCAAAUUGAAUGCACCUCAUGUUAUAUUGGGCAAGGGACUAUUCCAGGUUCUGGAAUACUUUGAACUCGAGGCACCGAAGCAACUUGUGUUCGAGGCUGGGACCAUGCCCAACCUACGAACCCUCCAUCUCAACAUGAGGAAGUGGGGCAACAUUAUACCAGUCGGCAUGGAUUAUCUGCUAUGGCUCCGUGAGGUCCGACUAGUGGGGUGCUACUCCGACGAUGCUCUGUCUACGGUCAUGGCGACCUUGCUGGUGCAUCCAAACCACCCUUUGGUUAAAAUUGUAUAG
rnacentral:rRNA from 1 species